CGGACGGGUGAGUAACACAUGGAUAACCUACCUAUAAGACUGGGAUAACUUCGGGAAACCGGAGCUAAUACCGGAUAAUAUAUUGAACCGCAUGGUUCAAUAGUGAAAGACGGUUUUGCUGUCACUUAUAGAUGGAUCCGCGCCGCAUUAGCUAGUUGGUAAGGUAACGGCUUACCAAGGCAACGAUGCGUAGCCGACCUGAGAGGGUGAUCGGCCACACUGGAACUGAGACACGGUCCAGACUCCUACGGGAGGCAGCAGCU
rnacentral:rRNA from 1 species